CAUCCAGUGCCGGAUCUUGCUGGGCACCUGCCAGCUGCUAAGGAUUGUGAGGCCAUGGCUGAAGCUGGGAGGGAGCGGAACAGGAGGAAGCAAAUUAGCUGCCGGACACAGUUUAACCAAGGGCUCCUUGACCUCUCCUGGGGCCAGUGGGGGUGGGGCCUGGCUCCCAGGCCCAGCUCUGAGCCUGUGGCCUCCCUCCUUCUUCCAGGCCCAUCUUCCCUUGGCCUGAGUGACACGGCACUGACCUGCUCCUGCUCUUACUGCUCUGGCUGCCCCCUACAGUUCCACUCCUGGGCAUCUCUUCCCUCCUUUAACUGAUGGCUCCAUCUUAAAGAGAGUAGAAGUGACUUCACCCACCCUAUGGCCUAGAGGCCCAAACAUGAAGCUCCUGGGCAACAGGAUUUGGUUUUAUUAAAGAGCUGCCAAGUUCCUUUGCCUUGAUGUGAGUAUGGGGAUCAGGCGGCCUGGCUAAGCUGGUCAGAGGGAGCAUUUCCAGAGGUCAGAGCACAGUCUCCAUGGAAACCAGGGCUCUGCAUACCCAGGAGGACCCAGGGACAGCAGGAGGACCAGUGAGAAAGGUGGAGUGCUGAGGAGAGAACACUGGGGUGCAGGCAGGGCCAUCAGGUUGAAACCCACCCCCACUUCCCCAACUCCUACACAGAGUCCCUCCUCCACCCAGCUGGGAGAACCAGAGCUCAGCCUACAGGGAACAGACAGGGCUCCUUUCAUCCUGCAGCAGAUGC
rnacentral:lncRNA from 1 species